rnacentral:rRNA from 1 species
UGUAGUCUGCAACCCGACUACAUGAAGCUGGAAUCGCUAGUAAUCGCGGAUCAGAAUGCCGCGGUGAAUACGUUCCCGGGUCUUGUACACACCGCCCGUCACACCAUGGGAGCCGGAAAUGCCCGAAGCCUGUGACCCAACCCGCAAGGGGGGGAGCAGUCGAAGGCGGGGCCGGUGACUGGGGUGAAGUCGUAACAAGGUACC